AGAGAGAGACAUGCGCGCAUAUCAAUAAGCGGAGGAAAAGAAACUAACAAGGAUUCCCCUAGUAACGGCGAGUGAAGCGGGAAGAGCUCAAAUUUGAAAUCUUAAAGGGUUCUACCUUGACGAAUUGUAGUUUAAAGAAGUGUUUUCUGUUGGAGGUUUUGGUAAAAGUUCUUUGGAAUAGGACAUCAUAGAGGGUGAGAAUCCCGUAUUUGACCAUUAUUUCCAGCUUUGUGAUACACUUUCAAAGAGUCGGAUUGUUUGGGAAUGCAGUCCAAAAUGGGUGGUAAAUUUCAUCUAAAGCUAAAUAUUGGCGAGAGACCGAUAGCGAACAAGUACCGUGAGGGAAAGAUGAAAAGAACUUUGAAAAGAGAGUUAAACAGUACGUGAAAUUGUCAAAAGGGAAGCGUUUGACACCAGUGUUGUUUUCUCGAAAAUCAAUUAAAAAAGGCAGGAUUUUGUGUUGUAUUGACUUUAUCAGCUUUCUGCACUCUUUUCUUGUCUUUUUUAAUGCACUUUUCGUUUAACAAGUCAACAUCAAUUUCUUUUGUUGUAAAAGGGUCAUUGGAAGGUGGCUUUCUUUUCGGAGAAAGUGUUUAUAGCCUUUGGCCUCUGCAAUCGGAGAGAUUGAGGUCUGCAGCGUAGAUCCUUCGGGGUUAGAUACAUUUGUGCUAAGUUAUAGCCUUUCAUAGACAACUUGUUGACUAUGAUCAGUCAUGUAGCUUACUCGCUUAUGCUAUUUUACCUACGCUUAGGAUGUUGAUGUGAUACUGCGAGC
rnacentral:rRNA from 1 species